rnacentral:tRNA from 1 species
ACCGCGAUAGCUCAGCUGGUAGAGCAUCUGCCCGGUGUGCGGGGGUUCGCCAGUUCGAUUCCGGCUCGCGGCG